AAAAACAGCUGAGAGCUGCAUCACACACAUCACACUGGGAAGGAGGAAAUAAGGCUGCUGUACUCUAAGACCAUACAGAAAAGGCUUUAGUCUAUGGAUGGGAAGAAACCUUCUUGCUUAAAACCAGGGAGAAGUACAAAACUGGUUGUCACUACAGAAAAGGCAGUCUUGCUCUUUGAAGUCACCCUGAGGUGAGGAUGGGAGAAGCAGGAAUAGCUGCAGCAUCUUCUGAGGAGGCUCUGCAGGGACAGAAAAGGAAAACAGUGAUGUGCAUACAGGGGGCAAGAGGAGAAAGCCUCUCUCUGGCCCUGCCUGGAAUGAUUGCAGGUGAUGAGGACCCCUGCAUACUUAAAAGCCUUUGCCUUCCAGAUUGGAGUGAGGCAGGCAAUCCACAUUAAAGUGAAUGUAAGAAAGGUCA